CCUACGGGCGGCAGCAGUGAGGAAUAUUGGUCAAUGGACGAGAGUCUGAACCAGCCAAGUAGCGUGAAGGAAGACUGCCCUCUGGGUUGUAAACUUCUUUUAUAUGGGAAUAAAACGUUCCACGCGUGGGAUCUUGUACGCACCAUACGAAUAAGCAUCGGCCAACUCCGUGCCAGCAGCCGCGGUAAUACGGAGGAUUCGAGCGUUAUCGGGAUUUAUUGGGUUUAAAGGGAGCGUAGGUGGAUUGAUAAGUCAGUUGUGAAAGUUUGCGGCUCAACCGUAAAAUUGCAGUUGAAAUUGGCGGUCUUGAGUACAGUAGAGGUGGGCGGAAUUCGUGGUGUAGCGGUGAAAUGCUUAGAUAUCACGAAGAACUCCAGUGGCGAAGGCGGUUCACUGGACUGCAACUGACACUGAGGCUCGAAAGUGUGGGUAUCAAACAGGAUUAGAUACCCCUGUAGUC
rnacentral:rRNA from 1 species